rnacentral:rRNA from 1 species
UACGAAGGGGGCUAGCGUUGCUCGGAAUCACUGGGCGUAAAGCGCACGUAGGCGGCUUGUUAAGUCAGGGGUGAAAUCCUGGAGCUCAACUCCAGAACUGCCUUUGAUACUGGCAAGCUUGGAGUCCGGGAGAGGUGAGUGGUAACUGCGAGUGUAGAGGUGAAAUUCGUAGAUAUUCGCAAGAACACCAGUGGCGAAGGCGGACUCACCUGGCGUCGGUACUGACGCUGAGGUGCGAAAGCGUGGG